UACGUAGGGUGCGAGCGUUGUCCGGAAUUACUGGGCGUAAAGAGCUCGUAGGUGGUUUGUCGCGUUGUUCGUGAAAACUCACAACUCAAUUGUGGGCGUGCGGGCGAUACGGGCAGACUGGAGUACUGCAGGGGAGACUGGAAUUCCUGGUGUAGCGGUGGAAUGCGCAGAUAUCAGGAAGAACACCCGUGGCGAAAGCGGCUCUCUGGGACGGUACUGACGGCUGAGACGCGAAAGCGUGGGGAGCGAACAGG
rnacentral:rRNA from 1 species